UUUCGCAAUGCCCGAAAGGGUGACGAAGCGACGCCGCGUGCGGGAAGAAGGCCUUCGGGUUGUAAACCGCUGUCGGGAGUUAAGAAAUGUAAGGAUGUUAAUAGCAUCUUUGCUUGACUAAGGCUCCGGAGGAAGCCACGGCUGACUCUGUGCCAGCAGCCGCGGCAAUACAGAGGCGGCAAGCGUUGUUCGGAAUUAUUGGGCGUAAAGAGCACGUAGGCGGCUAUGUAAGUCGGUUGUGAAAGCCUUCCGCUCAACGGGAGAACAGCAUCCGAUACUGCAUGGCUUGAGUGCGGGAGGGGAGAGUGGAACUUCUGGUGGAGCGGUGAAAUGCGUAGAUAUCAGAAGGAACGCCGGCGGUGAAAGCGGCUCUCUGGCCCAUAACUGACGCUGAGUGUGCGAAAGCUAGGGGAGCAAACGGGAUUAGAUACCCCGGUAGUCCUAGCCGUAAACGAUGGGCACUAAGUAGAGGGGUUUUA
rnacentral:rRNA from 1 species